GACGAACGCUGGCGGCGUGCCUAAUACAUGCAAGUUGAGCGCUGAAGGUUGGUACUUGUACCAACUGGAUGAGCAGCGAACGGGUGAGUAACGCGUGGGGAAUCUGCCUUUGAGCGGGGGACAACAUUUGGAAACGAAUGCUAAUACCGCAUAAAAACUUUAAACACAAGUUUUAAGUUUGAAAGAUGCAAUUGCAUCACUCAAAGAUGAUCCCGCGUUGUAUUAGCUAGUUGGUGAGGUAAAGGCUCACCAAGGCGAUGAUACAUAGCCGACCUGAGAGGGUGAUCGGCCACAUUGGGACUGAGACACGGCCCAAACUCCUACGGGGGGCAGCAGUAGGGAAUCUUCGGCAAUGGACGAAAGUCUGACCGAGCAACGCCGCGGGAGUGAAGAAGGGUUUCGGAUCGUAAAACUCGGUUGGUAGAGAAGAACGUUGGUGAGAGUGGAAAGCUCAUCAAGUGACGGUAACUACCCAGAAAGGGACGGCUAACUACGUG
rnacentral:rRNA from 1 species